rnacentral:rRNA from 1 species
UACGUAGGCAGCGAGCGUUGUUCGGAGUUACUGGGCGUAAAGGGUGCGUAGGCGGUUGUUUAAGUUUGGUGUGAAAUCUCCCGGCUCAACUGGGAGGGUGCGCCGAAUACUGGAUGACUAGAGGACCGGAGAGGAUAGUGGAAUUCCCAGUGUAGUGGUGAAAUACGUAGAGAUUGGGAAGAACACCAGUGGCGAAGGCGGCUAUCUGGACGGUUUCUGACGCUAAGACGCGAAAGCGUGGGGAGCGAACAGG